CCCUCAGAUGUCUGCUGAGCACCCAGGGGCCAGGGGUGGUUGACCAAGUGACCAGAUGAGAGGAAGUUGGGUUUCUGCAUUUGUUCCAUGCUGCUUUCAGGUGUGAGACUCAAGGGAGCUUGGUCGAACAAACACAGGUGUCCCUGCUCAUCGGAAGAGACAAGAGUGUGUCACUGUGUGUGCCUCAGGCUGAGUCCCUCACACCCCGGAGGCUCAGGGGAUACGUGGCCUUCCCUGGAGCAUGGUCAACCCACCACAGGCUGCAAUUAAAGAAAACUAAGUCUCCCUCUCCCAGGAGCCAUCAACUGUCAAUAACUCAGCACUGGGAUUUUGUCUGUCUGGCAAAUACAUUUAACAUGGAUACUUGAAGAAUUCGUUUACGAACAUCUUAUUAU